rfam:Pseudomassariella vexata strain CBS 129021 BCR38scaffold_18, whole genome shotgun sequence.
UUUCCUUUGGCGCAAUUGGAUAGCGCGUCAGACUGUUAAUCUGAAGGUUGUAAGUUCGAGCCUUACAGGGAAAG